rnacentral:rRNA from 1 species
GACGAACGCUGGCGGCGUGCUUAACACAUGCAAGUCGAACGGAAAGGCCUCUUCGGAGGUACUCGAGUGGCGAACGGGUGAGUAACACGUGGGUGAUCUGCCCUGCACUCUGGGAUAAGCCUGGGAAACUGGGUCUAAUACCGGAUAGGACCAUGCUUUAGUGUGUGUGGUGGAAAGUUUUUUCGGUGUAGGAUGAGCCCGCGGCCUAUCAGCUUGUUGGUGGGGUAAUGGCCUACCAAGGCGGCGACGGGUAGCCGGACUGAGAGGUUGGUCGGCCACAUUGGGACUGAGAUACGGCCCAGACUCCUACGGGAGGCAGCAGUGGGGAAUAUUGCACAAUGGGCGCAAGCCUGAUGCAGCGACGCCGCGUGGGGGAUGACGGCCUUCGGGUUGUAAACUCCUUUCGCCAGGGACGAAGCGUUUUGUGACGGUACCUGGAGAAGAAGCACCGGCUAACUACGUGCCAGCAGCCGCGGUAAUACGUAGGGUGCAAGCGUUGUCCGGAAUUACUGGGCGUAAAGAGCUCGUAGGUGGUUUGUUACGUCGUCUGUGAAAUUCCACAGCUUAACUGUGGGCGUGCAGGCGAUACGGGCUGACUUGAGUACUGUAGGGGUAACUGGAAUUCCUGGUGUAGCGGUGAAAUGCGCAGAUAUCAGGAGGAACACCGAUGGCGAAGGCAGGUUACUGGGCAGUUACUGACGCUGAGGAGCGAAAGCAUGGGUAGCAAACAGG